CCUACGGGAGGCAGCAGUGAGGAAUAUUGGUCAAUGGGCGCGAGCCUGAACCAGCCAAGUAGCGUGAAGGAUGACUGCCCUACGGGUUGUAAACUUCUUUUAUAAAGGAAUAAAGUGAGGCACGUGUGCCUUUUUGUAUGUACUUUAUGAAUAAGGAUCGGCUAACUCCGUGCCAGCAGCCGCGGUAAUACGGAGGAUCCGAGCGUUAACCGGAUUUAAUGGGUUUAAAGGGUGCGUAGGCUGGCUUUUAAGUUAGAGGUAAAAUACCGGGGCUCAACACCGGGCCGGCCGCUAAUACUGGAGGACUAGAGUGCGGAUGAAGCAGGCGGAAUGCGUGGUGUAGCGGUGAAAUGCAUAGAUAUUACACAGAACACCGAUUGCGAAGGCAGCUUGCUAGGCCGGAUCUGACACUGAUGCACGAAAGUGUGGGGAUCGAACAGGAUUAGAUACCCGGGUAGUC
rnacentral:rRNA from 1 species